UUGGCGGACGGGUGAGUAACGCGUGGGUAACCUGCCUCACACUGGGGGAUAACACUUAGAGAUAGGUGCUAAUACCGCAUAAGCGCACGGGACUGCAUGGUCUUGUGUGAAAAACUCCGGUGGUGUGAGAUGGACCCGCGUCUGAUUAGCUGGUUGGCGGGGUAACGGCCCACCAAGGCGACGAUCAGUAGCCGGCCUGAGAGGGUGGACGGCCACAUUGGGACUGAGACACGGCCCAAACUCCUACGGAAGGCAGCAG
rnacentral:rRNA from 1 species